GGUGAUUGAAGCCGAAGACCCUAAAUCCUUUCUUUAACUCGAUUGCAAAUUUGUUGAAGAAAACUGAAAUCCUGGUUAAUUAGUGAGAAUUUUAAAAAAGAAAUUGUGAAAUGGUGAAAAGUCUUGAUGGCGUGGAAUUGAUCACAAGAUCUCUUCAAAAUUCUCAAUCUAAUUCGGAAGACCUAAACAAAACAAUCGAAGCAAAGAAAAGUUAAAUAGUUGAUAAUGGAGACGGUAAUGGAAGAUGUGGAGGAGUACAGUUAGAGAGAAGUGAUAUUUCCAUCUCUGAUUCCGAAGGUAUCUCCGCCAGAGCUUGAGAGCGAAACAGGACAACAAAGAAGAGGAAGAGACAUACCGGUAGCCAUAGACCGCGGUUCCAACAGCAAGAACGCCUUCGAUUGGGCUCUCGUCCACCUCUUUCGCCUCGCGUAUACAAUCCAUCUCAUUCACGCUGUCUCUGACGUGAAGAACUAAAUUGUUUGCGACGUCACCGAGAACCUCAUGGAUCGAUUAGCUGUUGAGGCUUAUAAAGUGCAAUGGCUUGUUUUCCUUCUUUUUAUACGUGCAUUCGAGAGCACUUGAGGAGGGAGUCCUUGAGAUGUCUAGAAAAGUCUGUCUUCACUGUAAUUAAGAAAAGAAAAUGGGAUAAAAGACAAAUCCCUUUGUGUUCCCUGAGCCUGAGAUUUCCUGUAUAGAUCAGAUCACAGGAAAGAUGUUGGGAAGAACUUGUGCCAUUUUAACAUGGUGAACUUAUGUAUUGGAUAGAUGUUUGAAUCUGAAUAAUAACCUGUUUAUUAGGCCCAA